CUAACUCUCGUGAGGACUCCCUGGAACAAGCGAGAGGUAGCCCUAGGGUCUCUGUUCUCUUUCUGGAACACAACUGGCUGAGAGCAAUGCUGGCUGAAGGAAAACUGGCUGCAAGAAGGGAGCUUACUGGAACUGGGAAACUACAGGAAGCAGGAUUACCAGAGACCCUAUGGAGGGGAGGCUGUGAAACCCUAGGACUAAGGAAUCCACCUCUGACCGUCCUCCCAAAUUUAUUUGGAUAGAGACCAAGCAUAUGAAGUUUCAGCUCAAAGGCAAAUAGAGGGGAAGGUUCCUGUCCUCAAAGUCCCAUCUUCACUGGCCAUGCUGGCAUGACCCAGAGGAGGUUUUCAUUUGCAAGUUAUCUCAGACUGAGCUUCUUAUGUCACUUUGAUGCCCUGGAUCCACUCCAUCUGGGCCAACCAUGGUCAAAAGUGACAUUUGGUGAGCUGAAGUAUAGUCCUCAGUCCCCAACGUUGCACAGUGGAGACUCUGGAAGAACAGCACAGCCUGCAGGAUCAAGUCUGUAAUGAGAUAC